CCUACGGGGGGCUGCAGUGGGGGAUAUUGCACAAUGGGGGGAACCCUGAUGCAGCGACGCCGCGUGGGUGAAGAAGCGCCUCGGCGCGUAAAGCCCUGUCAGCAGGGAAGAAAAUGACGGUACCUGACGAAGAAGCCCCGGCUAACUACGUGCCAGCAGCCGCGGUAAUACGUAGGGGGCAAGCGUUAUCCGGAUUUACUGGGUGUAAAGGGGGCGCAGACGGCGAUGCAAGCCAGGAGUGAAAGCCCGGGGCCCAACCCCGGGACUGCUCUUGGAACUGCGUGGCUGGAGUGCAGGAGGGGCAGGCGGAAUUCCUGGUGUAGCGGUGAAAUGCGUAGAUAUCAGGAGGAACACCGGUGGCGAAGGCGGCCUGCUGGACUGCAACUGACGUUGAGGCCCGAAAGCGUGGGGAGCAAACAGGAUUAGAUACCCGAGUAGUC
rnacentral:rRNA from 1 species